UACGGAGGGGGCUAGCGUUGUUCGGAAUUACUGGGCGUAAAGCGCGCGUAGGCGGACCUGCAAGUCGGGGGUGAAAGCCCGAGGCUCAACCUCGGAACUGCCUUCGAUACUGCGGGUCUCGAGUCCGGGAGAGGUGAGUGGAAUUCCUAGUGUAGAGGUGAAAUACGUAGAGAUUGGGAAGAACACCAGUGGCGAAGGCGGCUAUCUGGACGGUUUCUGACGCUAAGACGCGAAAGCGUGGGGAGCAAACAGG
rnacentral:rRNA from 1 species